GCCAACGGCGAUAGCACGUUGAAUGCACCAGUUCCUGAUGGAGCACUGAAGUUAAGCAACGUUGCGCGCCGUUGGUAUCCUGAUGGGUGACCAUCUGGACAGUCGCAGACAUUAUGUU
rfam:Asian citrus Psyllid, Diaphorina citri - Florida Strain, whole genome shotgun sequence.